GUAGUCUCGCACAGAUGCAUAUCAAUAAGCGGAGGAAAAGAAACUAACUAGGAUUCCCUCAGUAACGGCGAGUGAAGCGGGAAGAGCUCAAAUUUGAAAUCUUAAAGGGUUCUACCUUGACGAAUUGUAGUUUAAAGAAGUGUUUUCUGUUGGAGUUUUGGUAAAAGUUCUUUGGAAUAGGACAUCAUAGAGGGUGAGAAUCCCGUAUUUGACCAUUAUUUCCAGCUUUGUGAUACACUUUCAAAGAGUCGGAUUGUUUGGGAAUGCAGUCCAAAAUGGGUGGUAAAUUUCAUCUAAAGCUAAAUACUGGCGAGAGACCGAUAGCGAACAAGUACCGUGAGGGAAAGAUGAAAAGAACUUUGAAAAGAGAGUUAAACAGUACGUGAAAUUGUCAAAAGGGAAGCGUUUGACACCAGUGUUGUUUUCUCGAAAAUCAAUUAAAAAAGGCAGGAUUUUGUGUUGUAUUGACUUUAUCAGCUUUCUGCACUCUUUUCUUGUCUUUUUUUAAUGCACUUUUCGUUUAACAAGUCAACAUCAAUUUCUUUUGUUGUAAAAGGGUCAUUGGAAGGUAGCUUUCUUUUCGGAGAAAGUGUUUAUAGCCUUUGGCCUCUGCAAUCGGAGAGAUUGAGGUCUGCAGCGUAGAUCCUUCGGGGUUAGAUACAUUUGUGCUAAGUUAUAGCCUUUUCAUAGACAACUUGUUGACUAUGAUCAGUCAUGUAGCUUACUCGCUUAUGCUAUUUUACCUACGCUUAGGAUGUUGAAGUCAUCGUAUCGCGC
rnacentral:rRNA from 1 species